CCUACGGGUGACUGCAGUGAGGAAUAUUGGUCAAUGGGCGGAAGCCUGAACCAGCCAAGUAGCGUGCAGGAUGACGGCCCUACGGGUUGUAAACUGCUUUUAUACGGGAAUAACGUGCCUUACGUGUAGGGCUUUGCAUGUACCGUAUGAAUAAGGAUCGGCUAACUCCGUGCCAGCAGCCGCGGUAAUACGGAAGGUCCGGGCGUUAUCCGGAUUUAUUGGGUUUAAAGGGAGCGUAGGCCGCAUGUCAAGCGUGCUGUGAAAUGUUCGGGCUCAACCCGGGCAUUGCAGGGCAAACUGGCGAUCUUGAGUCCGCUGAAGGCAGGCGGAAUUCGUCGUGUAGCGGUGAAAUGCUUAGAUAUGACGAAGAACCCCGAUUGCGAAGGCAGCUUGCUGCAGCGGAACUGACGCUGAUGCUCGAAAGCGCGGGUAUCGAACAGGAUUAGAUACCCGGGUAGUC
rnacentral:rRNA from 1 species